rnacentral:lncRNA from 1 species
AAAAUCUUGUCCCAACAUCAUUGACAUUAAAAAGGCAUUCAAUCUUUACAAAAAGCUGAACAUAAGGAAUACAAGUUAUUUAUUCAUUCAUCUAAUACCAGCAAUAUUCAAAAAAUAUUUAAUCUUUGCAAAGACAAGGAAUACAAGUCAAAUCAUCCAAAUUUAUAUAUGGAAUAGCCCGAAAAGAAAAUCUGCUUCACAUAGAACUAAUGUCAAUAUACAUGAUCGCCUCUGAUGCUAGGAAAGCAUGGUACUUCUUAGCAAGCUUUUUGACCAGCUUCUUGUUUUUGUUCAUUUUUUUAGUGCUUCAACAUCCAUAUAGUCAAGC